rnacentral:rRNA from 1 species
UGUCCCUAUCUACUAUCUAGCGAAACCACAGCCAAGGGAACAGGCUUGGCACUAUCAGUGGGGGAAGAAGACCCUGUUAAACUUGACUCUAGUCAGACAUUGUUUAGGGACAUGAAGGGUGUAGAAUAAGUGGGAGUUAUUUCUGAUAACGCCGGUGAAAUACCACUACCUUCAUCGUCUCUUUACUUACUCGGUACUGCGGAGAAAACCCCAAAUUUUGGGGUCUGUAUGGCUUUGAAACCUAAUGCCACUCGGCAGUUGGGUGAUCCGCUCCGGAGAAAGUGUCCGGUAGAGAGUUUAACUGAAGCGGUAUACCUGUCAAACGGUAACGCAGGUGUCCUAAGGCCAGCUCAGCGGGGACAGAAACCUCGCGUAGAGCAAAAGGGCAAAAGUUGUCUUGAUCCUGAUUUUCAGUACGAUUACGGACCGCGAAAGCGCGGCCUAUCAAUCCUUUUGAGUUUACGAGUUUUAAGCAAGAGGUGUCAGAAAAGUUACUACAGGAUAACUGGCUUGUGGCGGCCAAGCGUUCAUAGCGACGUCGCUUUUUGAUUUUUUGAUGUCGGCUCUUCCUAUCAUUGCGAAGCAGAAUUCGCAAAGCGUUGGAUUGUUCACCCACUAACAGGGAAUGUGAGCUGGAUUUAGAUCGUCGUGAGAUAGAUUAGUUUUACCCUUCUGAUGGCUAGUUUUUGCGAUAGCAAUUGAGCUGAGUACGAGAGGAACCGCAGGUUCGGAAAUUUGGUAUGUGCGCCUGGCCGGAAGGCCAACGGUGCUAGGCUACCGUCCGCGGGUUAACGGCUGAACGCCUCUCAGCUGGAAGCCCGCCUAACCGGUGGCAGAGAUAGCGUGUGCCGCCAGCUAUCACUUGGCGAAUUUAGGCCCGCUCUUCCUGUGGAUUGAGGGCCGAAGAAGCCUUUUCGGUGAUCUGAACAGUUUCUGGGGUCGACCCGACUGUGUCUCCCCUGUGCUCUUUGACCUGAGCCUCCUAGUUCGAAGGAGGUGUGAUGCGGUGGUGCCGAAUCGUCCGUAGACAACUCACCAACUGGUCGAGGUGUCGUAAGUGCGAGAGCAGCCACCUUACUGCGAUCCACUGAAACUCGUCCC